UACAGGGGGGGCAAACGUUGCUCGGAAUCAUUGGGCGUAAAGCGCACGUAGGCGGUUCGUUAUGUCGGAGGUGAAAGCCCUUGGCUUAACCGAGGAAGUGCAUACGAAACUGGCGAGCUAGAGUACUAAAGAGGAUCGCGGAAUUCCCGGUGUAGAGGUGAAAUUCGUAGAUAUCGGGAGGAACACCGGUGGCGAAGGCGGCGAUCUGGGUAGAUACUGACGCUGAGGUGCGAAAGCGUGGGGAGCAAACAGG
rnacentral:rRNA from 1 species